rnacentral:misc_RNA from 1 species
CAAAAAUCUGAAAGAAUAUUUGCAUAAUAUCUCAAAAAAAUAAAUUCAAAGCAUAUGAUCAUGUAGGACCACACAACUUAAAAAUAUGCUUCCAUUUACGCAGACAAGCGUGACUUAUUCUAUUACUUGUGCAUGUUUUGCAUGAGAUGUGUAACAUCAACCAAAGCAAUAUUUCCCUUUAAUUAUUUGGCAUGCUGGCUAGCUACCUGCUAAGGGAGCGCCAUUGCCACCUUCUUUGGUCUCUGAUUCUUAAAGCUCUAUGGCCAAAUUGAUGUACCAUAACAAUCACAUAUUCGGUUCUUGUCAAAACUAAUCCCCACUAACAAAAGGAAAGUCUUUUUCUCAUUUUAAUUUUAUGUGAAGAAAUUAACUAAGAGUUUUGUGCAAUUGUGCUAUGAUUUUUGGUUUUAAUUACAAGAAAAUGUCAUUAAGGG